CUGGCCUCCACACCCACCAGGUCGCAGUGCAGCUCCAGGUUGAGGUCGCCCUUGUUGGUGUGCAGCCGCACGUAGCCCUUCUUCUUCACAAACUGGUAGCGCAGCACAUCCUCGUCGAUGGCAGCUACAAGCCGAGGUCCCAGCUCAGCCCCUGCCCUCACCCUGGGGCAGCCCCACCAUGCCAGGCAGCACCGGCCUCAGACACACAGGCGGGGACUAGGCUCCAGCUCUGGGGAGAGCAGGGCAGCUGGAGGCCGAGGGUCUGCUUAGGCCACGCACAGGCUCACCCCAGCCUCAUGGGGCUGGCAGGGGUUCAGCAGCUAAGAGGGGGAGGACUAGGGGCUCAGGUGACAGUGGGAGCCCCUGACAGACCAAUAAAGUGGGAGUCGGGGAGCACACCCACCCCCUGCCACUUUCGGGUCACAUGGCAGGUGGCUACAGAGGCAAAGGUGGCUACCUGCUUCAUGUGUGGUCUCCGGGACCAUCGCGGUGGAGGUGAAGGAAGCGCUGACCUUCCCUGUGGAAUAGUGGGCCCGUUCAGCUUGUCCACUUUCUUCUUCUCCGGGGCCUUCAUGGUGGCUGCCAGAAUCUCGUCCCCUUUGAACUCCUUGUAGAGCUCCUGCAGGGUCUCUCGGGUCUCGGCAUUUGUAUUUUUCAGAUAAUAAGACGGGUCCUGUUUGGCCUUCUCUUCAUCUACAAAACAGUAGCAUGGCCCUGAGCCGCCGAGCCCCCAGUAGCCUCCCCACACACGUGCUGGGGACACAGACCUAGAAUAGCCCAGGGCCGUCCAGCCAUGGC
rnacentral:lncRNA from 1 species